UGUUUGCUGAGCAGAUUUCAGAGAUGCUGUUUCGCAGGUUCCAGCGUCGACGUUUCGUAUUCUGGCCCGUUCUCUGCGUAGGAGCGUCGGAAUUCAGCGAAACCUGGGCCAUUGGAUUCAUGACUUCAAGACGAAGCUUCAGACCCUUGUUUGCUGAAUUUGGAUAAGGUUAACUUGGUCGCGAUUUAACGCUUUCUUCCUGCCAGGAGUUGCUUGAGAGGUGGGUUACAUCGGUUUUUACUCCUAAGUUCAUAUUCGUCGGCAUGUAUAAUUUUUGACCUUUGGAUACUCUAUUCUAACUCGAAUCAUGGAUUAUAUUGUAGAUUGCAAAUCUGAAUUUGGAGCAUGUGGUAAUAAUUAAGUAGGUUAUAUAUGUUGGACUUGAAAAUUGAAUUAGGAGAAAACCUGCGAUUUUGACCUGUCACUUGUUUAAACUGGCCUGAUUUAGCUCUAGGAGCCGUUAUUAAAUUGUACUGUCGCAGUAUCUUGGACGAGUACUCCCAGGUAUGAGAUUACAUUACACUCGUGCUGGUGCGCCGACAGUGAAUUUUUACAGGAUCGUUCAGGUUGUUCCGGACUGGUGGUGCCGUCAGAGUGACGGUGGACCCGUAUCGCCUUUUGGCGUCAGAUUGUGCCGAGGGCACAUACCUGUUGGUGGUUAGACCAGUUUGAGUGGUUACUUGACUUUGGCUUUUCAGAGCCUGUUUGAGCUCGACAGAGAUACGCUGCAUACUCGGUUGGGUAGCGCCACGAAUGCCACUCCGGAGUCAGGCUUUAUGCUUUCGCGUUGGUGUCGCUCAUGCCGUUGGACUUGCUCUCCACGGACCAGUUAGUGUGGAUAGAGCCGAUAGUCGCAACGGCGGGCAGGACGGGUGUAUUCAGUCCCGGGAGGUAUGCUUACAGUCUCGAUUGAUUGGGUCAGAUUUGACAUUUCCUACAGUUGGUUAGCGUAGAGCUUGAUAGUGUAGUGGUUGAUAGCGGUAGAGUGUACCCUCCUGCUUUUCCUUCUAUCCUUGCUCCCUUCUGUAGACUUAGUGGGUGACCGAUGUCGUUUUGGGCGGUACCCACUGAGGACUACUUGUUUUUACAGUAGUUCUCACGCCCAGUUGUUACUUGUGUUUUGCAGAGCCACAGGUGUCGGCUGCUGCAUCUUCCGCCGACCAGGAUCGAGGCAAGGGCGUUGCGAGCUAGAGCCCUACCCGACAGUCAGAGCUAGAGGCUUUCCCCUACUACAGGUAGUUGUUGUUUUGGAGUUUAUGUACAUAGUUGUUU
rnacentral:lncRNA from 1 species